rnacentral:rRNA from 1 species
UACGAGGGGUGCAAGCGUUGCUCGGAAUUAUUGGGCGUAAAGGGUAGGUAGGUGGUCUCAUUUGUCUGUGGUGAAAGCCCAGGGCUUAACCCUGGAAGUGCCUCAGAAACGGUGAGACUGGAGUCCUGGAGAGGGUCGUGGAAUUCCCGGUGUAGCGGUGAAAUGCGUAGAGAUCGGGAGGAACACCAGAGGCGAAGGCGGCGACCUGGACAGGUGACUGACACUCAACUACGAAAGCGU